rnacentral:rRNA from 1 species
AGGAUGAACGCUGGCGGCGUGCCUAACACAUGCAAGUCGAGCGAUCUUCUUUCGGAAGAGAGCGGCGGACGGGUGAGUAACGCGUGGGUAACCUGCCCUGUACACACGGAUAACAUACCGAAAGGUAUGCUAAUACGGGAUAACAUAUGAGAGUCACAUGACUUUUAUAUCAAAGCUUUUGCGGUACAGGAUGGACCCGCGUCUGAUUAGCUAGUUGGUAAGGUAACGGCUUACCAAGGCGACGAUCAGUAGCCGACCUGAGAGGGGGAUCGGCCACACCGGAACUGAGACACGGUCCAGACUCCUACGGGAGGCAGCAGUGGGGAAUAUUGCACAAUGGGCGAAAGCCUGAUGCAGCAACGCCGCGUGAGCGAUGAAGGCCUUCGGGUCGUAAAGCUCUGUCCUCAAGGAAGAUAAUGACGGUACUUGAGGAGGAAGCCCCGGCUAACUACGUGCCAGCAGCCGCGGUAAUACGUAGGGGGCUAGCGUUAUCCGGAAUUACUGGGCGUAAAGGGUGCGUAGGCGGUCUUUCAAGCCAGAAGUGAAAGGCUACGGCUCAACCGUAGUAAGCUUUUGGAACUGUAGGACUUGAGUGCAGGAGAGGAGAGUAGAAUUCCUAGUGUAGCGGUGAAAUGCGUAGAUAUUAGGAGGAAUACCAGUAGCGAAGGCGGCUCUCUGGACUGUAACUGACGCUGAGGCACGAAAGCGUGGGGAGCGAACAGGAUUAGAUACCCUGGUAGUCCACGCCGUAAACGAUGAGCACUAGGUGUCGGGGGUUACCCCCCUCGGUGCCGCAGCUAACGCAUUAAGUACUCCGCCUGGGAAGUACGCUCGCGAGAGUGAAA